rnacentral:rRNA from 1 species
UACGUAGGGUGCGAGCGUUGUCCGGAAUUAUUGGGCGUAAAGGGCGCGUAGGCGGUCGUGACAAGUCACUUGUGAAAUCUCCGGGCUUAACUCGGAACGGUCAAGUGAUACUGUCGGACUAGAGUACAGAAGGGGCAACUGGAAUUCUCGGUGUAGCGGUGAAAUGCGUAGAUAUCGAGAGGAACACCUGCGGCGAAGGCGGGUUGCUGGGCUGAUACUGACGCUGAGGCGCGAAAGCGUGGGGAGCAAACAGG